GCCUUCUUGGCCAAGCGGUAAGGCGUCGCACUCGUACGGAUUAAAGAACUUGUUCAUAAGUUAUGCGAAGAUCGACGGUUCGAUUCCGUCAGGAGGCA
rnacentral:tRNA from 1 species